GAUGAAGAACGUAGCGAAAUGCGAUAAGUAAUGUGAAUUGCAGAAUUCAGUGAAUCAUCGAAUCUUUGAACGCACAUUGCGCCCGGCAGUACUCUGCCGGGCAUGCCUGUUCGAGCGUCAUUUCAACCCUCAAGCCCUGCUUGGUGUUGGGGUCCCACGGCCGCCGUGGGCCCUGAAAGGAAGUGGCGGGCUCGCUACAACUCCGAGCGUAGUAAUUCAUUAUCUCGCUUAGGGCGUUGGGCGGCGCUCCUGCCGUUAAAGAACCAUCUUUAACUCAAGGUUGACCUCGGAUCAGGUAGGAAUACCCGCUGAACUUAAGCAUACAAUAAGCGGAGGA
rnacentral:misc_RNA from 1 species